rnacentral:rRNA from 1 species
AAUCAACGCUGGCGGCGUGCCUAACACAUGCAAGUCGAACGCGAGAGGGGCUUCGGCCCCGAUUGAGUGGCGAACGGGUGAAUAACGCGUGGGUGACCUACCUUCGAGUGGGGGAUAACGUCCCGAAAGGGACGCUAAUACCGCAUAACAUCCUGCUUUUGAAUGGGUGGAGAUCAAAGCCGGGGAUCGCAAGACCUGGCGCUUGAUGAGGGGCCCGCGUCUGAUUAGCAGUUGGUGAGGUAACGGCCCACCAAGGCAACGAUCAGUAUCCGGCCUGAGAGGGCGGACGGACACACUGGGACUGAGACACGGCCCAGACUCCUACGGGAGGCAGCAGUGGGGAAUUGUUCGCAAUGGGCGCAAGCCUGACGACGCAACGCCGCGUGGAGGAU